rnacentral:rRNA from 1 species
GACAGAGGAGCCAAGCGUUGUCCGGAUUGACUGGGCGUAAAGCGCACGCAGGCGGCCGUGCACGUGGGGUGUGAAAGCGCUCGGCUUAACUGAGCGAUGCCACCUCAUACGGCAGGGCUCGAGCCCGUGAGAGGUCCACGGAAUUGCCGGUGUAGUGGUGAAAUGCGUAGAGAUCGGCAGGAACACCCAGGGGGAAACCAGUGGACUGGCACGGUGCUGACGCUCAGGUGCGAAAGCGUGGGGGAGCGAACCGG